GACGAACGCUGGCGGCGUGCUUAACACAUGCAAGUCGAACGGAAAGGCCUGCUUUCCCUUGUGGAUUGCGGGUACUCGAGUGGCGAACGGGUGAGUAACACGUGAGUGAUCUGCCCCCAACUUGGGUAUAAGCCUGGGAAACUGGGUCUAAUUCCCGAUAGGACUGCAGGGUGGUGCCUGUGGUGGAAAACGAUUUUCUAGUGGUUGGGGAUGAGCUCGCGGCCUAUCAGCUUGUUGGUGGGGUAAUGGCCUACCAAGGCGGCGACGGGUAGCCGGCCUGGGAGAGUGGACGGGCACAUUGGGACUGAGAUACGGCGCAGACUACUACGGGAGGCAGCAGUGGGGAAGAUUGCACAAUGGGCGGAAGCCUGAUGCAGCGACGCCGCGUGGGGGAUGACGGGCUUCGGGUUGUGAACUCCUUUCGACCGCGAGGAAGCCACCUGGUUGGAAGGGUGGUGACGGUAGUGGUAGAAGAAGCACCGGCUAACUACGUG
rnacentral:rRNA from 1 species